rnacentral:rRNA from 1 species
CCUACGGGUGGCAGCAGUGAGGAAUAUUGGUCAAUGGGCGCGAGCCUGAACCAGCCAAGUCGCGUGAAGGAUGACGGUCCUAUGGAUUGUAAACUCCUUUUAUCGGGGUGUAAAAGGCGUCACGCGUGGAGUUUCGAGAGUACCCGAAGAAAAAGCAUCGGCUAACUCCGUGCCAGCAGCAGCGGUAAUACGGAGGAUCCGAUGUUUGUCCGGAUUUAUUGGGUUAAAAGGGAGCGUAGGCGGCAGAUAAAGUUAGCGGUAAAAUUGAGUGGCGCAACCUGUUCGAGCCGUGGAAACUGGUUUUCUUGAGUGCGCGAGAAGUAUGCGGAAUGCGUGGUGUAGCGGUGAAAUGCUUAGAUAUCACGAAGAACUCCGAGUGCGAAGGCAGCAUACGGGAGCGCAACUGACGCUGAGGCACGAAAGUGUGGGUAUCGAACAGGAUUAGAUACCCGAGUAGUC